CUGGCUCUGUGUUCCUGCACCAGCUUUCUCCAAGUGGCACAGCAGGGCACGAUGGACUCUCGUGUCCUCCGUCACGUGGCCAAGACCACUCAAAGCCAGGUCCUUCUUGAUUUGCCCCGACUGGAUAUGACCUUUCUCUUCUGAACCCUCUGUCUGUAUUCGUUCCUCUUUGAUGGAACCAGUUUCUUCCUGCCAGGGCUGGCUACAUAUUUCCCAGGACCCAGUACUCGGAGAAAAGAUUGGGCCUGGUUCAACAGCAGCCAGAAAGCGCCAUUAAAGCAGACUGCACUUCCAGAACACCAGAGGAAAGAGAAAACGAUUUCAAAAUGCUGCCAGCGGAGCAUGAAGCCAGCCGGGGCUCUUCAGAGCGCGAGCCCCAAGCGGCACCGCAGACUGCACACCCAGGACGCAGCCUCCUCCCUGCUUUGUUUUCCUGUUGCUUGAGACACGGCUUCCCUCUGCCCCCAGACUGCGAGCUCAUUCAGGAAGGAGCCUGAGCCUCUCCGGUGUCUUACAUAAGCCCAAACAGCCCAAGACAACGUUCAAGCCAGAUUUCAGCCCUUCUUCAACAACCGCUUUAAAGAGCAGGGGUGGCU